rnacentral:rRNA from 1 species
UUUCCUACGGGGCGCAGCAGUGGGGGAUAUUGCACAAUGGGGGAAACCCUGAUGCAGCGACGCCGCGUGGGUGAAGAAGCGCCUCGGCGCGUAAAGCCCUGUCAGCAGGGAAGAAAAUGACGGUACCUGAAGAAGAAGCCCCGGCUAACUACGUGCCAGCAGCCGCGGUAAUACGAAGGGGGCAAGCGUUAUCCGGAUUUACUGGGUGUAAAGGGAGCGUAGACGGCUGCGCAAGUCAGAAGUGAAAGCCCGGGGCUCAACCGCGGGACUGCUUUUGAAACUGGGUAGCUAGAGUGCAGGAGAGG